rnacentral:rRNA from 1 species
AGUGAACGCUGGCGGUAGGCCUAACACAUGCAAGUCGAACGGCAGCACAGUAAGAGCUUGCUCUUACGGGUGGCGAGUGGCGGACGGGUGAGGAAUACAUCGGAAUCUACUUUUUCGUGGGGGAUAACGUAGGGAAACUUACGCUAAUACCGCAUACGACCUACGGGUGAAAGCAGGGGAUCUUCGGACCUUGCGCGAUUGAAUGAGCCGAUGUCGGAUUAGUUAGUUGGCGGGGUAAAGGCCCACCAAGGCGACGAUCCGUAGCUGGUCUGAGAGGAUGGUCGGCCACACUAGAACUGAGACACGGUCCAGACUCCUACGGGAGGCAGCAGUGGGGAAUAUUGGACAGUGGGCGCAAGCCUGAUCCAGCCAUACCGCGUGGGUGAAGAAGGCCUUCGGGUUGUAAAGCCCUUUUGUUGGGAAAGAAAAGCAGCAGGUUAAUACCCCGCUGUUCUGACGGUACCCAAAGAAUAAGCACCGGCUAACUUCGUG